GCCGCCGAGGGGCGCUGCAAGUCCGUUCGCUGGGUCAUCGCGAAGCGGAAUCAGGCUCGGCGGAAUCGGGUUCCAUUCCGACACCGCGCCCGCCCAAA
rnacentral:ncRNA from 2 species